GACGAACCGCCCGAACGUUGUUCGGAAUCACUGGGCUUAAAGGGCGCGUAGGCGGGCUACCAAGUCCGGGGUGAAAUCCUCCAGCUUAACUGGAGAACUGCCUCGGAUACUGGAAGUCUCGAGGAGGGUAGGGGCAAGUGGAACCGUGGGUGGAGCGGUGAAAUGCGUUGAUAUCCAUGGGAACUCCGGUGGCGAAGGCGACUUGCUGGACCCUUUCUGACGCUGAGGCUCGAAAGCCAGGGGAGCAAACGGG
rnacentral:rRNA from 1 species